UUCAAUUAUCAAUUACAGGUUUUAAAUUUACCCUGGCUUUUAAAGGAAUAGGGCACACUUUUCUUUUUACUAUUUCUAUCUUUUUCUUUCUUUCUCUUUGACUCCGUCUUUGUCUCUCUCUCUGUCUCUCUCUCUCUCUCUGUCUCUCUCUCUCCAUCUCUCUCUGUCUCUCUCUCUCUCUCUCUCCAUCUGUCUCUCUCUCUCCAUCUCUCUCUUAGCCAUUACAGACUUGGGCCCCUGGCAAGGGUGGUGGGGAAUGGGUCCCACAUAACUGCCCAUGUCGAGAGCUGUAUACCUAAAUCGGGAGGGACACCAGGGAUAAGACUCCCUGGGUUACAGCCUAGAUGCCUAAGGACACAGCAUAGAGCUUCCUGAGAUCCCUUUGGAGAUACAACUUGCUAGAGGAAAUGAAAGUCUGAACCAUUAGUACCUAGGACGCAAGGAUCAGAGGAAGUAGAUUCAGAGCAACUACAAAGAAAUAGGAAGAAGAGGAAGAAGAAGAAGAAGAAGAAGAAGAGGAAGAGGAAGAGGAAGAGGAAGAAGAAGAAGAAGAAGAAAAAGUAGUUGUUGUUUAUUGAGAGCGUGCUGGCAAAUCAGGAGGGGUUUAAUCAUCUGAAGACUCUGCUAAUUGAUUUACAUUUCAUUCUCCAUCAUCUUAAUCUUCCUACUAGAAAAACAACAAAAUGUAAUUCUACAAUAGUGAACAGUUUUUUUAUUCUUAUGUAUUUAUACCUCACCUUAUUUCAUAAAAGACUUCAGGUUAUUAAAGGUACUCCAUUGUAAACCAACAUAGGGCCUGGAGAAAGCACAAAACAUCUUUCAUGUGAGCAUAAAAAUGUCCUGCUUAAGUCCUUUAAUCCAUUCCAUCCUAAUAAUAUGACUUAUCAACCUGCUCAUGUUGAACUAGAAUCAUUAAUUAUUGAUGUUCUUUUUGUAGUUUUAAAUGAAAAAAUGGUUAACUUCUUAAAUAUUUGUAAAACUAUAAACAAAGUAGCUAAAAUACAGAGUAUUAAGGCUAUUAUUUGGCUCCUUAAGGUAAAUGGAUUGUAGACUUAGAACAGCUAUCACAUUGCAAGUUACGAAUCCUGAUUUUUGGCUGCUGUUAAAAUGUCUAUUUGUGCUAUUCACUCUAAUUUCCCGUUUGAAUAAUGCAUAGUGGGCAUUAGAAAAAAAAAAUUUUAAUGUUAAUAAUGGCAAGGGAUUGUCUGAAUUCUAUCAGUCACCAAUAAUCUUAAUUACAUCAGAGCAGUACUCUAUUAUUACAAAAAAUGUUUAUCUGUUUUAUUUCUUUAGAAUUUAUAAUAAAUUCAUUUUUAUUAAUUAGUUAUUUAGAAAAUUAUAUAGUUAGUUCAAAUAGAUAACAUAAACUAUGCCCUUCCAUUGACAAAAUUGUAAUUGAAAUAGUAAAGUUGCCCAAUUCAUUCAGUCAAAUAUUUAGCCUGUGUUUUCAAUCAUAGUGACUGAAUGUGUGUGUGUGUGGUUUCAACUAAUCCUAUAGUAUAUAGUUUGUUUAUAAGAUGGUGUGACCUAUAAACUAGAAUUAUUUGUUACCCCAGUUUUUUCUCCAUAUAGCCAGGUUUCAAUUCUGGAUUUAUUAUUUGAAUAUAUAAAAACAAAAUAAAAUCAUUUUGUUUUUAUAAACACAGUCCUAAUCACAUAACCUUCUACAAUGGAGUUAAGAAGUUAUGGACAAGGGCCAAAUUCAGCUCUC
rnacentral:lncRNA from 10 species